UGGCCACAGGACUGGAAAAGGUCAGUUUUUAUUCCAAUCCCAAAGAAAGGCCCUGCCAAAAAAUAUUCAAGCUACUUCACAAUUGCUCUCAUUUCACAUGCAAGCAAAGUAAUGCUCAAAAUUCUCCAAGCCAGGCUUCAACACUAAGUGAACCUAGAACUUCCAGAUGUUCAAGCUGGAUUU